rnacentral:pre_miRNA from 1 species
AAUAAGAUCAUUUUUUAGUUUUUCGAUACAAUGACUCUUCAUAUUAUUUCAAAUUUUUUAUAAUUAAUAUUUUUAUUUUUACUAGGUAAUAAAACAUAAAUAAUACUUUAUGUGUGACUAAUAUUUUUAAGUUUUUUUGAAAUAAUUUUUCAAAUAAGACGAAUGGUCAAACGUUGGAUACAGAAAAACA